rnacentral:rRNA from 1 species
GAGACAGCAGUCGCCACGGGAAUACGAACCGUGCGAACGUUAUUCGGAAUUACUGGGCUUAAAGCGCGUGUAGGCGGAUCGGCACGUCCGAAGCUGAAAUCCCCCGGCUCAACCGGGGAAGUGGCUGGGAUACGACCGGUCUUGAGGGAGGUAGGGGGGUCUGGAACUUCCGGUGGAGCGGUGAAAUGCGUUGAGAUCGGAAGGAACGCCCGUGGCGAAAGCGAGGCCCUGGACCUUUUCUGACGCUGAGACGCGAAAGCCAGGGGAGCGAACGGGAUUAGAUACCCCUGUAGUCCCUGUCUCUUAUA